UCAAACAACACGAAAAGCAGAAUUGAAAGAUGGGCAUAGCGAACCAUUGAGGGUUUUUAAUGGAUCCCAAUUGUGGUAGAAAAGGUACCCCAAGGAUAACUGGGUUGUUUCCCCCGAUAGUUCAUAUUGACGGGGAAGCUUGCUACACCGCCGUCGGCUCUUCCUAUCCUGGCUGUGCACAAGCAGCCAAGGGUUGGACUGCUCGUCCAUUAAAAACCUACGCGAGAUGAGUUCAGUACGCCGCGAGGCAGUACGGUAUUAUCUACUGGGAGUGUAAGUGUAAGAGGAUAAGAUCCCCUCAAUACGAGAGGAACGGGGGAUCGGCGCCUCUAGUGUGCCGGUUGUGUUCGCACUGCCGGGUAGCCACGCGCCAAAUGGAUAAGCCCUGAAAGCAUCUAAGGACGAAGCCAUACCCGAAACGAUACACUAGGUCGGCCGCAAUAGACGGCCUUGAUAGGACGGGUGCGUAAGCAGAGAGCGCAAGCGAUCUGUGAACAUACCGUUACUAACGACUGAUUGAGCAAGCCU
rnacentral:rRNA from 1 species